AAAUAAGCAGAACUGAGGGGAGAAUCGUACAACGUUACAAACCCAUCAAUUGAUUCGGACCCGACAAACAGAACUAUACGUGUGAAAACUGCAGGUACUGCAGGGAUAACAAUGCAGAGAAAACAGAAGUUUGGAAUAUGCACAGCAGAAUUUCCAGACACUGGAAAAAGAUGCACAGAAAAUGGAGAAGGAGAAAGAAGUAAGCGGACCUCAUGUUCCAUCAACAACUCCGGAUGCUGUAGAACGGCUGCCUGAUGGAGAGAUGGAUCAAGCACCAGACAGGCGAGAAAACCCGUCUAAGAAUAUCGACUCGCCUUCUUUCUGUGGAGGCAGUGGAGCCUGCAUGACUGGAUGGAUUACAACCAUGAACUGUGUGGCCAAGUAAGCUGACACAGAUGACAAGUAAAGAAGCCGCUAUGUGUCAUCAGAAGCACCCGGAAAUGGACUUAUUGGGGCGGCACAAACCACAGGAUCUACAUGCAUUUUUCUGUCAGAAACUCAGAUAUGAUCUUUUCUCUGAAUUCUGACACCGUCCUGGUGCCCAGUACAAUGUUAUUGGUAGGUGUCUGAGUUCCUCGUAAGCGAAAUACGUUCUGCUGACACACUUCAAGCUUGUGAAACAUAACUUAAAAGGCAGGACUUUGUUUCUGAAAUAAGCUUGUUUUAAGGAAGUGGAACCCCCCCCCCCCACAGUCAUCAAAUCACAUAGGCAUCAAAGGAUAUGGAGUUCAGCUGUUCAGCAAGACUCCCAGAGGCGCCACGAGAUGGAACAGGGAGAAUCACUACAGCCCGGGAUAAACACAAGAUGUUUUCUUCUAAGCAUAUUUUUAGAAUUCUAAUGUUGUUCUUGGCAUAUUUUUACGUUUGAAUUCUGUCAAGAUUUUUUUUUUUUUUUUUUUUUUGCUUAGGCUUCCUGGCCAUGGAGACGACACAAUACCACAUUUUCACUGUGGUACAUCUCCCCUGCCUGUUUUCUGUGGCCAAACGGCACAUUCAGUCUCCACAGUCAAGUUAGUUUUUGUUCUCACUUUUCCGGCUUCAGAUUGAAUCGCGCAAAGGACAGCGAGCGAUUUUAUACUUUUCAAGCUUUUUUGCAAACCUUUUCGCAAAACUCUAAAGACUCAUCCAUCAAAAUACAUUCUGCACCAUGGUGAACGUUGAUGCAAAAUAAAAAACACACGUCGCAAAAAUUAAGUCACAGUCAGCACACGGUAGUCAUCAUUUAAACACGAUCACUCAAAACUGACUCGAAACUCUUCACACAUGUUUAUAGACAUGAAAAGAAACCAAAGAGUGACUAGAACAUAAAAUAUGUGCUGGAUGAGUGUGCGAUUGCCCCGGGUGAUUUUGACGUCAAUAUACAAAUGGGUCACACAGAGGAUUCUUCCCGCAUCACCCAACAAGGGAGAGCAUUUCCUGCGAUUUAGACAAAGUUCUCUGUCCUGAUCCAGCCCUGAGACAUGACAAUGAGGCAGAAUGAAUAUUCUUCGGUGACUCUGGCUUGGCAGCUGCAAAACAUUUUACUGUAAUAUGCCUCUCAUUUGGAUUUUUGACUUUGCCCUUUUGAAGUACUGAAUACUGCAAAAUUACAAAAUUCCACUAAACAACAAUUUUUUUUUUUACUCUAGUCCUUUGGUUUCCAAUUUUUCAGCUCAAGGUGCAAAAGAUCAUAAUUCUUUACACAUCUUUUUUCGUCGUUGAAGGACUUUUUGCAAAACUCUAGUCACGAUGAUUAUAUUGGAGUGUCUCACAUCCCACAUCCAGCAAAUCAAACUCCAAAACUGGGAACAGGUCAAAACACCAUAAAAGGUCACGGAGUUUAAUUUUAAACACAAAAUGGAACUAGAGAGUAUCGGAACAAGGCCAAAGAGGAAGAGGCGGACGAGGACAGUCAUGAAGUGAGAGCCACGUGGUUAAUCAUGGAGUCUAUGCAUGAGGCAGGCCUAAGGGUGUGAGCAAACGUUUCAGGGUCAUGUGUGGCAUCGAUUGUCCGAAUAUUCUGGCAGGAAAAUCGAUAUGUACAAAAACAUUCACGUGCUGUAUUUGUAUAUGAAGGCUACAGUACACACGGUAAUCAUGUUUAUAUCUUCAGUAGCAGAGUAUAAAUACUGUACAUUUUUCCCUUUGUGUCCUACAUUAUGUAUUUACCUUCAUGGAACUGAAAGAAUAGUGAGGCGAGAUCUUCACAGCAGAGCAGGAAGCAGAGAUUAUUCAGAUGGUGCGGAGGAACAAUAGAGUUGGAUUACGGGAAAUACAGUCUGCUGUAAUAACAGACCACACAAAAGUCGAUCGCAUCCAUUCGGUCAGUUUAUCAGCUGUUGAUAGGAUCUUGAAACGUAACAACUUAAGCAUGUACUUAUGCAAAUGUACCGAAUGCCAUCGUAGAGGAACAGGGACCAUGUAAAGUAGCUGAGAUAUCAAGAUGUACAGGUAAUGAGCCAGAGUUGUACAUUCACUAUGUGUUUACUGUAAGUCUGAGCAGGACCGGUUUUAUUACACAUGCUUUCGUGACCAGGAGGCAUGGAAGGAAUAUCACUGGGCACAGGGCAACAGGGCAGGUACCAGGGCAGGGAGGUGCAAACAUAAUUAUGUGUGCUGCUAUAUCAGAAAAUGGUCCUGUAGCGUACAUCCCAACAACUGGGUAAGGCUUACUGUAUUUCUGGAUGAGCUUCACAGAUUACCGCUGGUGUCUGAAGGGAGAGAGCUUGCUAGGGUCACUGUCCAACAUUAAUAAUCAUAAUAAUUGUUUUUAUGCUUCCCUCAACUUCCACUUUGUAGAGCAAGCUGGCAGUGAAGGGCAGCCACCCAGGGAGCUGGGAGUUUAGGGCCUCGCUCAAGGAUCAGACAUGCUCGGAGAUUUUUCCCCCACUGCAUUGCCAGGGAGAUAUAGUUUGUGUUGUUAAUGAACAAACGUGGCCCACAGAGCUCGGGGAUCAGGCAGACUAACGCAUGUUUUUUUUUUUUUGUUGUUUUAUACAUUUUAGUAUUUCUGGUUUUUCAAUAUUUCUGUUUGCAUGCAUGCAAUAGUGUAUGUACAGAUUUUACUGCAGUUAUUGAGUCUUUUGCCUGAGAAUGUUCCCCGAUUGCUUGCAUGUGUUUACUGUUGACUGAUGUGUGUUACUGUUAUAGAAUUUUGUAGCGUUAUUUUGACGAAUGUAGCUGACGAAGCGCCUGAGAAAAACUGUUAAGUGCUGAGUUCUUGCUGUGUGCUAUUUGGUCAGUCUCCUAUAAUCAUGCUAAUAAUCGCCAAUGUUAACGUGAAACAGCUAGAUUAGACUUUCAAUCAUGGAAACCAACAAGUCAAACAACAGAAUUAUUUAGCCAAACGUAGGAGCCUUUCAGUUUUAAAGUAGUCUGUAGAACCUGAAGUAGCUCAAACAUUCGUCUCUGAGAUGAAUUAUCUGAUCACCCUAAUAAUAACAUGUAUUAGGGUAUAUGUGUAGUCAAUUUUCUGUAAACUUGUGUCGAGUGUCGGUUAAAGGUAGGCUCUGUGUUGAAGCCCCUGCGAUCAUAUCGCUGCUGUGACAAGAAAAUGACGUCACGGAGGACUGAACGCGGCCCUGACCUGCAGGGGGAGCCGUCGUCAGCCUGUCCAAGUCGGGGCCACCAUGCUGUUGUGU